rnacentral:rRNA from 1 species
UCUGGUCUUGGGACACUGUCAGGUGGGCAGUUUGACUGGGGCGGUCGCCCCCCAAAAGGUAACGGAGGCGCCCAAAGGUUCUAUCAGUACGGUCGGAAAUAGUACGUAGAGUGUAAAGGCAAAAGAGGGCUUGAUUGCAAGACAUACAGGUCGAGCAAGGAUGAAAAUCGGACUUAGUGAUCCGGUGGUUCUGCGUGGAAGGGCCAUCGCUCAACGGAUAAAAGCUACCCUGGGGAUAACAGGCUUAUCUCCCCCAAGAGUCCACAUCGACGGGGAGGUUUGGCACCUCGAUGUCGGCUCAUCACAUCCUGGGGCUGUAGUAGGUCCCAAGGGUUGGGCUGUUCGCCCAUUAAAGUGGUACGCGAGCUGGGUUCAGAACGUCGUGAGACAGUUCGGUCCCUAUCCGUCGCAGGCGUAGGAAAUUUGAGAAG